rnacentral:tRNA from 1 species
AAUAAGAUGCCUGACAAAAGGAUUAUUUUGAUAGAAUAAAUCAUGUAGAAUUUUCUACUCUUAUUA